AAUGCACCAAUUUGUAAGUCGCUGGAUAAGAGCGUCUGCUAAAUGACUUAAA
rfam:Salmo salar isolate Sally breed double haploid chromosome ssa10, whole genome shotgun sequence.